CAGCAAAAUAACGUUUGCAACUAAUUUCCUCAGUGCCAAGUUCUGAACGUCUAUCGAUUUCCAACGGAGUUCCCCAGGCGUUCGUUGGCUUGCGCAAAACUAUGCGCACAAAGUCAUUUCGUAUGCAAAUAAGAUGUUGCCAACGCCAUCAUAACGAACAGGAUACUCUACGUCUCUGUGAAAUCCGUUUAUAUCAGUGUUUCGGCGUAUCAUCGCCGUUAACUGAAUUGUUGAAAGUGCUGUUAAAACAUUAAAUAUGGCUUCGCCCGACGGCAAGCUCACCACAACCGAUCGUGUUGUAAAAAGCGUGCCAUUUCCACCUAGUCACAGACUUACUAUGAAUGAAGUGUUUGAUGCCAAAGGAAAACCAAGGCCUGAUGUUCUUAAACAGCACUUUAUAUUGGAAGGAAAAGUCACAGAAGAUGUUGCCCUUAGAGUCAUAAAUGAAGGAGCUGCUUUGCUACGUCAGGAGAAAACAAUGAUUGAUAUUGAGGCCCCAGUCACUGUUUGUGGCGAUAUCCACGGCCAGUUCUAUGAUCUGAUGAAGCUGUUUGAAGUUGGUGGGCCGCCAGCUACUACUCGCUACCUCUUCCUUGGCGAUUAUGUGGAUAGAGGAUACUUCAGUAUAGAGUGUGUACUGUAUCUCUGGGCUUUGAAGAUCCUUUACCCGAACACAUUCUUCCUUCUUAGAGGGAACCAUGAGUGUAGACAUUUAACAGAAUACUUCACCUUCAAACAAGAAUGUAAAAUAAAGUACUCUGAGCGAGUGUAUGAUGCUUGCAUGGAUGCGUUUGACUGCCUGCCAUUGUCUGCAUUAAUGAACCAGCAAUUCCUCUGUGUUCAUGGUGGACUCUCUCCUGAAAUUCACACACUUGAUGAUAUCAGAAAGUUGGACAGAUUCAAGGAACCACCAGCAUUUGGGCCAAUGUGUGAUCUUUUGUGGUCUGAUCCAUUAGAGGAUUUUGGAAAUGAGAAAACAGCAGAACAUUUUACACAUAACAGUGUACGAGGUUGCUCAUACUUUUACAGCUAUGCAGCUUGUUGUGAUUUCUUACAACAGAACAAUUUAUUAUCAAUUAUACGAGCGCACGAGGCACAAGAUGCUGGCUAUAGAAUGUACAGAAAAAGCCAGACAACGGGAUUCCCAUCAUUGAUAACUAUCUUUUCUGCCCCAAAUUAUUUAGAUGUUUAUAAUAAUAAAGCUGCUAUUUUAAAAUACGAAAACAAUGUGAUGAACAUACGACAGUUCAACUGUUCACCUCAUCCAUAUUGGCUGCCAAAUUUUAUGGAUGUGUUUACUUGGUCAUUGCCAUUUGUAGGAGAAAAAGUGACAGAGAUGUUAGUUAAUGUAUUGAAUAUUUGCUCAGAUGAUGAGUUAAUGAAUGAUAUUGACGACACAUUUGAAGGGUCGCGCAAUGGUAAGUGGACGGCUCCCUUGACCUAUAUGGUGGAGCGGUGGCUGCCAGGAAGGAAGUCAUACGUAACAAAAUACGAGCCAUUGGCAAAAUGGCCAGGGUCUUCACUGUAUUACGAGAGGAGAGUGAGAGUGUUCUACAGCUGAAGGGCCUCACCCCCAAUGGUCUGCUACCUCUGGGAGCACUGUCUGGUGGCAAGGACACACUCACUAAUGCACUUGGAGGCUUCAACCCAUCACACAAGAUCAGUGGUUUUGAAGAAGCUAAAUCACUGGACAAAGUGAAUGAGAGAAUGCCACCCCGAAAGGAAGGCCAAGUGAACAAUUCAACAAAGAGCUAGGAGUUUGCUUUAAAUUAAAUUCAUGAUGGCUCUUGCUUAGGGGAAUUUUGCAACCUAAUCAAUUAACUAUAUUCGGUAAAAAUACACAAUCAUCUGACUAGGGUUUCAUGUCCUGAAUUGAACAAACAAAAUUGGAUCUGAGGAAGUUAACAACAAAGAUUUCUGUACCACUAGGAUAUAUUUAUCAAUAUUAAAAUAUGAAUGUGGCCAACUGGACAGAGGUACAGGAAAAUGUGAUCCAGUCUUGGUUUUAGAAAGACAUCAGCAAAAGUUCUUUAUUUGAUGCAGGGCACCAAAGACUCCUUGGUCUGUUGACAGAGCAUUAGAUGUUUCUACCACACAUUCUGCUGAAUAUUCACAGAAACAUGCCUACCAUAUAACCACCAAAAGUGUGCAGGGGAGACCAUAGUGAUUGGUUAUAGAUGUUACAUAUUACAUUUUUUUGAAUUAA